rnacentral:rRNA from 1 species
CGAUGGGAGCUUGCUCCCAGGCGUCGAGUGGCGGACGGGUGAGUAAUACUUAGGAAUCUACCCAGUAGCGGGGGACAACUCGAGGAAACUCGAGCUAAUACCGCAUACGCCCUACGGGGGAAAGCAGGGGAUCUUCGGACCUUGCACUAUUGGAUGAGCCUAAGUCGGAUUAGCUUGUUGGUGAGGUAAAGGCUCACCAAGGCGACGAUCCGUAGCUGGUCUGAGAGGACGAUCAGCCACACUGGGACUGAGACACGGCCCAGACUCCUACGGGAGGCAGCAGUGGGGAAUAUUGGACAAUGGGGGCAACCCUGAUCCAGCAAUGCCGCGUGUGUGAAGAAGGCCUGCGGGUUGUAAAGCACUUUCAGUAGAGAAGAAAAGCCUACGGUUAAUACCCGUGAGUCUUGACGUUACCUACAGAAGAAGCUCCGGCUAACUCCGUGCCAGCAACCGCGGUAAUACGGAGGGAGCGAGCGUUAAUCGGAAUUACUGGGCGUAAAGCGCGCGUAGGCGGCUUUGUAAGUCGGAUGUGAAAGCCCUGGGCUCAACCUGGGAAUGGCAUUCGAUACUGCAGAGCUAGAGUAUGGUAGAGGGAAGUGGAAUUUCCGGUGUAGCGGUGA